rnacentral:tRNA from 1 species
GGAGGGGUUUGGUUCAGUGGCAAAGCAUCUGCUUGGCAUGCAGAGGGUCCUAGGUUCAAUCCUCAACAUCUCCA